rnacentral:rRNA from 1 species
GAUGGCGACCGGCGCACGGGUGAGUAACACGUAUCCAACCUGCCGAUGACUCGGGGAUAGCCUUUCGAAAGAAAGAUUAAUACCCGAUGGCAUAGUUCUUCCGCAUGGUGGAACUAUUAAAGAAUUUCGGUCAUCGAUGGGGAUGCGUUCCAUUAGGUUGUUGGCGGGGUAACGGCCCACCAAGCCUUCGAUGGAUAGGGGUUUUGAGAGGAAGGUCCCCCACAUUGGAAUUGAGACACGGCCCAGACUCCUACGGGAGGCAGCAUG